GGGGAAAUAGCUCAGUUGGUAGAGUGCUUGCCUUGCAUGCACAAGGCCCUGGGUUCAAUUCCCAACACCA
rnacentral:tRNA from 1 species